GCGAGACAUGUGGUCCGGCGGACGAGUGUGACCGAUAAACUGGUCUCGGACGAGCCGGGCGCAGCUCCCGGCAGUCCACCAAUGAUCAGCCAGCAGCCGCUGCAACCACAGGGAG
rnacentral:sRNA from 1 species